rnacentral:rRNA from 1 species
AGAGUUUGAUCCUGGCUCAGGAUGAACGCUAGCUACAGGCUUAACACAUGCAAGUCGAGGGGCAGCAUGGAAGAAGCUUGCUUCUUCUGAUGGCGACCGGCGCACGGGUGCGUAACGCGUAUCAAACCUGCCUCAUACUCGGGGAUAGCCUUGCGAAAGUAAGAUUAAUACCCGAUGUUGUUAUGUUACCGCAUGGUGAUAUAACCAAAGAUUUAUCGGUAUGAGAUGGUGAUGCGUCCGAUUAGGUAGUAGGCGGGGUAACGGCCCACCUAGCCAUCGAUCGGUAGGGGUUCUGAGAGGAAGGUCCCCCACACUGGAACUGAGACACGGUCCAGACUCCUACGGGAGGCAGCAGUGAGGAAUAUUGGUCAAUGGACGGAAGUCUGAACCAGCCAAGUAGCGUGCAGGAUGACGGCCCUCCGGGUUGUAAACUGCUUUUAGUUGGGAAUAAAAAGAGGGACGUGUCCCUCAUUGUAUGUACCUUCAGAAAAAGGACCGGCUAAUUCCGUGCCAGCAGCCGCGGUAAUACGGAAGGUCCAGGCGUUAUCCGGAUUUAUUGGGUUUAAAGGGAGCGUAGGCGGAUUAUUAAGUCAGUGGUGAAAGACGGUGGCUCAACCAUCGUUAGCCAUUGAAACUGGUAGUCUUGAGUGCAGACAGGGAUGCUGGAACUCGUGGUGUAGCGGUGAAAUGCUUAGAUAUCACGAUGAACUCCGAUCGCGAAGGCAGGUGUCCGGGCUGCAACUGACGCUGAGGCUCGAAAGUGUGGGUAUCAAACAGGAUUAGAUACCCUGGUAGUCCACACAGUAAACGAUGUAUACUCGCGGUUUGCGAUACAAUGUAAGCCGCCAAGCGAAAGCAUUAAGUAUACCACCUGGGGAGUACGCCGGCAACGGUGAAACUCAAAGGAAUUGACGGGGGCCCGCACAAGCGGAGGAACAUGUGGUUUAA